rnacentral:rRNA from 1 species
GAUGAACGCUGGCGGCGUGCCUAAUACAUGCAAGUCGAGCGAACGGACGAGAAGCUUGCUUCUCUGAUGUUAGCGGCGGACGGGUGAGUAACACGUGGAUAACCUACCUAUAAGACUGGGAUAACUUCGGAAACCGGAGCUAAUACCGGAUAAUAUUUUGAACCGCAUGGUUCAAAAGUGAAAGACGGUCUUGCUGUCACUUAUAGAUGGAUCCGCGCUGCAUUAGCUAGUUGGUAAGGUAACGGCUUACCAAGGCAACGAUGCAUAGCCGACCUGAGAGGGUGAUCGGCCACACUGGAACUGAGACACGGUCCAGACUCCUACGGGAGGCAGCAGUAGGGAAUCUUCCGCAAUGGGCGAAAGCCUGACGGAGCAACGCCGCGUGAGUGAUGAAGGUCUUCGGAUCGUAAAACUCUGUUAUUAGGGAAGAACAUAUGUGUAAGUAACUGUGCACAUCUUGACGGUACCUAAUCAGAAAGCCACGGCUAACUACGUG